rnacentral:rRNA from 1 species
UACGUAGGGUGCGAGCGUUAAUCGGAAUUACUGGGCGUAAAGCGUGCGUAGGCGGUUCGUUAAGUCUGCUGUGAAAGCCCCGGGCUCAACCUGGGAAUGGCAGUGGAUACUGGCGAGCUAGAGUGUGAUAGAGGAUGGUGGAAUUCCCGGUGUAGCGGUGAAAUGCGUAGAGAUCGGGAGGAACAUCAGUGGCGAAGGCGGCCAUCUGGAUCAACACUGACGCUGAGGCACGGAAAGCGUGGGGGAGCCAAACAGGG